rnacentral:lncRNA from 10 species
CGACUCCGCGCGGAGGAGCGGGGACCCGGGCCUGCAGUCGGAGGCCCGGCUGCUGGGGGGCACUGGGGCAGGCCUUACCGCCAACCCCGCACCCUCGGCCGGGAGGCUGCAGGUCGGUGGCUAACCCCAGGCGUGUCCCGGGAUGGGACCCGACUCUGCCCUCAGAGACAGGGACAGUCGGGCCAGGCCAACAAACAACCAAAAUCCCAACGUGUGCUGGGCUCACCCGGGACACCAGGGCCGGAGGGAGAGACCCGGGAAGUCACCGAGGCUGCAGGGGAGGCAGCUUUGGCGCUGGGCCUGCGGGAGCCUCUUGUAUAGGAAUUCAUAGCUACCGGGGUUACUGAGGAUGAGUUAGGCUUUGGAACCACAAGUAGAUUUAUUUUCCAAAGAAGAAGAAUAAAAUGGUGCAGGUGAAGAUGCGGAGGAACUGGAUGAGACGCAUAGGAACGCCACUGGGCAGCUCAAAGCGGUGUUCCUGUGAGUUCACCAUGGACCCCUUGAGCCACCGACGCCCCGCCCAGCCUUACACUCAGCAGAAACGCAUACAACAUGUGCUCCAAAAGACAGAAAGACAUGUAGCCGCACAUUCAUAAUUCCUCCAAUUGGGAAGCCUAGCGUCAUCAAGGCAGAUGAAUAUCGUGGAGUAUUCGGGCUUAGGAGCACGACAAACGGAACAGGAGUGAAUGAUCCGCAACUCACAUAACGGGGUGUCUUAUAAGUUUGAAGUUUGCAGAGAGCCCAGGAAAGCUUACCAAGGGGACCAGCAUGCUCACGCCUCUGAGGUUAAGGAGGCCCCUCAGGAAGAGGUGACAUGCGACUGGCCAGUGAAAGUUCUCAGCACAUCCAGCUUCCAGAGGCCCACUGGAAGAUCAUAGGCCUGAGAUUCUUGCAGUCCAGGUGAGCCACACCCAGGUGCUGGGAGAAGAACCCAUCAUGGGCACGGGCAUUCCUGCACAUUCUUGCUGAGUAUGCCACAAAUGCAAAGCCCUGGUCACUCUGUACCCGUGUCUCAGGGUCGUGUUUGCAAAAAGCAACCUCAAAGGAGGAGGUACCAUCUCCCUCUGGACAAGUUUACCGGAAAAUCGGUAAAUUCCCCAAACUCAGUGUUCUCCUGUGUAAUGCAGCCCAUUGUGUGUGCAGGCAUCCACCAUCCAUGAUGGGCCCUUGACCUCGCCCACUCCACACCGACCCUAGGACUUGGAAGACACAAGGAACUCAUGUGAACACCAUGCUUAAACUGCAGCUAUUAUUUUACUGCAACUAAUAAAGUCCCUGUCUCUGACCCAGGAGUCUCAGAACUGGAGAUUGGCAGUGCCUCUAUUUGAAUGGAGGUCAUCUGACUCCCUUUGUAUCUUGGGUUCUGUUUUUCAAUAAAAAUUAUAGCAUUGUAACAUUUCCCUGUCUUAUUAGAAAUCUCCAUUACAUAUCCAGUGAGUGGAUAUGUUUAGAAGUCGCAUACACAUUUACUUAACCACUCACUCUCUUAUUAGGGGACAUUUUCGUCAUUUAAACUUUGCAGCGUUAGAAAUGAUGCUGCCGUGAAACCUGUGCGCUCCAGGUUCAGCUGUACCUCUGCGGCUCCCAGCAGGAAUGGCCUAGAAGAGUAAGUGCUGCACCAAGAAA